CCAGCUCCUUAUCAUCAUCUCCAUCCUCAGCACUGCUGUACAGUAAAUGGCCACAGCAGUUUCUUUCCUGUUGGAACUGCAGAGGUACCUCAUGAAGAAUUAAGUUUUUAGCAAAGAACAAAGCAGGGCUCUGAUGACCUGAAGUAUUUCAGCACAGAUGGCUGCUGCAUUUAUGGUUCAGCAGAAACAGAAAUUGCUGGAGUUGCUGGCAGGGAAAUGGUGGUCCCUGUUAGGGAGGUCAGACGUAGGGGUUUAGAACAGUCUGAUUUGCAAAUCUAUUUAUUCUACUCCUCCAGCUUCAUACAAGUUGUUCAGAUCUGUGUGUGUAGGCCAACCCCCAUCUGAUCAGCCCUAUGUUCUCAUGCUCUCUGACCUUUUUGGUAGGUGGUAAUUUUGUUUGUACCCUCUCCCGUGACAUUCUGUCAGGCCCUCUUCUGCUCUCACAGCUGACAGCCUUCCCUGCUCAGCGCCUGUAACUGGGAAUUUCCCUUCCUUCCUCCUUCCACAGCUACCAUCGCCUGUUCUGCUGCUUUCCAGAGCAGGAUGUUUGUGCUCUCCCCCACAUCCGUGCUGGAUGAGCUGCCCCACCCUGUUGAGAUUGCUGGAGCUGCUCUGUGCUGUGCUUUCCCCUGCUAGCCCCAGCUUUGCUUCAGACAGUGGCAGCUCUGCGCUGUGCUCCCGCUUUCCACGCGGUGACCCUGCCUCGAUGCUGGAGCGCUGUGUCUGCCCGCCGCGGUGCUGCCGUGUGCACAGAGCAGUGCCGGGCGCUGCUGGGGUGCAGUGGCCACCACCACGUUCUUUUCUUCCCAUCUCAGCAGGGUGGCCCAGGAAACUGCCCGAGGAGCAAAUGCCCUGUGGCGUCAGCAGCACACACAAAGGAACCUCUGUACUUCUUUCAUUUGUUCUCAUCGGUUUUGAAGAGGAAGUCACCAUCUAUAAAUAGCUGCUGGGAAAAUCUUGCCUCAGAGCAAACUGAAGAUGUGAUUCACCUGAUGUGUUUGUGUGCAAAUAGCUGCAUUUUAAACAAGGGCCUUUCUAAAGCUGCCAUUUGCAGACACCACCAACAUGUCUGUCUUGGAGUUAACAACCCUGAGCUACCACCCCAGCAGUGGCAUGAGACUUUUUCUAACCUCCAGUCCCUAUGCUCCUUCAAGCACAGAAGAUGCCACGUAUACAGAGGUAAGGGGAGAAUUUGCACAGCAGUAAGGUGUUCUUGCUGCACUUCCAAGUCUAUUCUGGAAGAAAAAUGCACUCUUAGAAAGCAAACUUACCUUUUAACAGCGCAAGAGUAACUUAAAAUGCCAUAGCUUGCAAUACUGAACACUUCACUAAUCAGGAACAGCUGAAGGUCAUUAAUGCCUCCACUAGACACUAAAACACCCCAAGGGAAAGCCCCAGCUGGGCUACAGGGCAAGGGCUGAGCCAUGCUGGAAGGGACAGGUGUGAGGAGGCUGCACGGCCCUGCUCAGAGCCAGCACCCUCAGGGUGUGCAGGGCCCUGCUCAGAGCCAGCACCCUCAGGGUGUGCAGGGCCCUGCUCAGAGCCAGCAGGUUCAGGGGUGUGCACGGCCCUGCUCAGAGCCAGCACCCUCAGGGGUGUGCAGGGCCCUGCUCAGACCCAGCACCCUCAGGGGUGUGCAGGGCCCUGCUCAGAGCCAGCACCCUCAGCACUGUUCCUACAGCUCCUGCUGGGCUGUUCCCCAGCAAAUCCAUGGAGCUGCUCCGGUGACGCUCCAGCGCUCUGCAGGGCUGGAACCUGGCUGUCAGCCAGGUCACUCCACAGCUGGAGGCCCUCUGAAUUCAUCACAGCU